rnacentral:lncRNA from 1 species
AGAGAAAGUUUCAAAGAAUAUCAAUAUUGUAUUAAUCUCAAUUUCUCUCUCAGCAAAUGUCACUAAUUACAACACCAUAUAUAUAUAUAUACAAUUUUAAUCAUGAUUCUGUUGUAACUAAUUAACAAUUGCUAAAGUUAACUGAUUUUAACCACAGCACACAAUACACAUAUAACAAACUUUAACUAAUUAAGCUGAGCUCUUACAGUGCCCUGCUUUCUUCUUUCGCUUCUAUUUUUCAUUCCUCUACUUUUCCUUCUUCUUUUCUACAUAAUGAGCUACUUUAACAACUAUGAGAAUAGGAAGGAAGAAAAUGGAAGGAAAACUCAUUAAUGGAGGACAGCGAAGCGCCAAAACGAGUCAAAAGUAAAAAUUUUCAGAGGUUAGGGUUUCAAGCUUAAAAGAAAACUAAAAAAAUUUGAGAAACAAGAUGAAGGAAGAGAAGAGGGAUCAAUUUUGUACAAAGAAAACCAUACACAAGCAGGGUCAGCCACGUGUAGGGGAGAGAUCAUCCCUUGCUCAGACAAGUUUCUAUCUAUCGAUAAUAAGACAAUGACCAUGGUAAAGAUGGUUAGGAAAGUAUGAAGUGGGAAAACAAUUUGGUCUGUUAAUAAAAUCCAAAGAUCCAUGAGUUCACCGCUUGUCAGCAACUGUUUUGAAGGCAACUGGAAGUGGCAGAUGUAUACUUAAGGGAAGCAAACCAUUAAAAACCAGCUAACUACUCUCCAUACUGCAUCGCCAAAAUAGGAAAGUGGGGGGAGAUUUCAAUUGCACCGCCUAAAGUCCUUGAAAGUUCUAGGGGUGGGCAUGGGUUGGUUUGGGUUGGAUUUUAAGUCAACCCAAACCAAACCAUAAAAAUUUGGAUUCAACCCAAAUAUUUUUAACCCAACCCAUUUGGGUUUUGUUUGAAUUUUAUUAUC